rnacentral:sRNA from 1 species
UAUCUCAAAAUAAAACAGGUGUCAGAGC